rnacentral:rRNA from 1 species
AUUGAACGCUAGCGGGAUGCUUUACACAUGCAAGUCGAACGAGUGGCGGACGGGUGAGUAAUAUAUGGGAACGUGUCCAGUAGCGGGGGAUAACUACUCGAAAGAGUGGCUAAUACCGUAAAAUAGUGGAGCGGCAGAUAUCGGAUUAGAUAGUUGGUGGGUUAAAGGCUCACCAAGGCCACGAUCCGUAGCUGGUCUGAGAGGAAGACCAGACACACUGGGACUGAGCAACGGCCCAGACUCCGACGGGAGGCAGCAGUGGGGAAUUUUGGACAAUGGGGGAAACCCUGAUGCAGCCAUCCCGCGUGUAUGAGAAGGCCUUCGGGUUGUAAAGUACUUUUGGCAGAGAAGCGGUAUCUGCAGAAUAAGCACCGGCUAACUACGUGCCAGCAGCCGCGGUAAUAC